CCCACAACAGACUAUGAAGAAUAACUAGCAGUCUUUAUAUCAGAGGCAGAAAGUACUGAACGCUUACUUUCCAACGUGGCUGCAUCAUUUCACAUGCCUACCAGCAGUAUGAG
rnacentral:lncRNA from 1 species